rnacentral:rRNA from 1 species
AUUGAACGCUGGCGGCAGGCCUAACACAUGCAAGUCGAGCGAGCGGCGGACGGGUGAGUAAUGUAUGGGACACUGCCUGAUGGAGGGGGAUAUCUACUGGAAACGGUAGCUCAUACCGCAUACCAUCAGAUGUGCCCAGAUGGGAUGAGCUAGUAGGUGGGGUAACGGCUCACCUAGGCGACGAUCCCUAGCUGGUCUGAGAGGAUGACCAGCCACACUGGAACUGAGACACGGGCCAGACUCCUACGAGAGGCAGCAGUGGGGAAUAGUGGACAAUGGGCGCAAGCCUGAUACAGCCAUGCCGCGUGUGUGAAGAAGGCCGUCGGGUUGUAAAGCACUUUCAGCGGGGAGGCGUUACCCGCAGAAGAAGCACCGGCUAACUCCGUGCCAGCAGCCGCGGUAAUUC